UCAAGUGCGGCGUGGCCGCCUUGGCCGAGAGCCGGUUUCUUGCGUAGCGUACCUGCACGACGGCACCUUGUUUCUGUCCCAACGACCCUCGUUCGUUUAGUGCUCCCCGUUUUGGCGGGGUCACGAGGCGAAACUUGUAACUUGGUCCGUUACCCACGUCGCGUCCGGCCGUCGUGGCGAACGGGGCACUGUUUAAUCUCUCGGAUAUGGGAAGCACUGAGGGCAUUGACGUCUCAUCCUUGCCCGAGCAUAUAACGCAUUACGAUUGGACCCCAAGACCGGUGCACGACUGUCCCUCCCGCCUCGGUUAGGCCGUGCGGGCAGGACGUCGUUGAGGAAUGCUACCUGGUUGAUCCUGCCAGU
rnacentral:misc_RNA from 1 species